UAAGGAAUAUUGGACAAUGGAGGCAACUCUGAUCCAGCCAUGCCGCGUGAAGGAAUAAGGCCCUAUGGGUUGUAAACUUCUUUUAGACGGGACGAAAGCCCUUUACGUGUAAAGGGUUGAUGGUACUGUCAGAAUAAGCAUCGGCUAACUUCGUGCCAGCAGCCGCGGUAAUACGAAGGAUGCAAGCGUUAUCCGGAAUUAUUGGGUUUAAAGGGUGCGUAGGCGGACUAAUAAGUCAGUGGUGAAAGCCUGCAGCUUAACUGCAGAAUUGCCAUUGAUACUGUUAGUCUUGAGUACAGUUGAGGUAGGCGGAAUGUGUCAUGUAGCGGUGAAAUGCUUAGAUAUGACAUAGAACACCAAUUGCGAAGGCAGCUUACUACAUAUAAAUUGACGCUGAGGCACGAAAGCGUGGGGAUCAAAC
rnacentral:rRNA from 1 species